GGGAACGUACAAAAUUUGUAGUUUAUGAGAGAAAUAAAAGGCGAUGAUAAUAUACAGGACCGUAAGCAUCAACUAGUAUAUCCUAAAAUCCGGUGUCAUAAGUGCAUGGGCAUUCACUAAGGAGUACAAUAAUAAUACAAUAUCUUUCUAGAAUGUAAAUGAGACAUGGUAAAAAAAAUAGUACGAUGGAGACUCUGUGGACUGCGAUACGUGGCAUGGAAUGCAGCUCACAUAUAGUCUCCUAAACAGCUGCGCUUACGCGCCACAAUGAUCACAAAAUGAACCUAUCAGAUCCUGCACAUUUAGUGUAGAAGUGCAGCAUGAGUACGUAAAUCAACGCGUACCCAGUAAAUAUCUAGCCUAACCCCGUAGAAGUAGUGACGAGGGGUCGACAUCAACACUUACUAGUGGUCCAAUAGAUCAAUAUGGUAAAUCGUAAACAGAUAAGAAGCACAACAAUAGUAGUGAGGUAAAUCUGUAACUAACACAAUCUUCCAAAAUUUCUUUUAACGAUAUCAAUUUCUCAAUCUCGUAUUUUAUCUCAACAGAUCGAAAAUAUCAAGUGCCAAUAUCAAAAGGAUAAGUAAAUACCAUAUAAAGUGUCGGGCAUCAGUGGAAGGAUAAUCUCGUGAACAAUCUUACUGCUAGCGAUAUAACGCACGAUUAUGCCGAGGUCGUACGACCCGAUACCAUCGUUAUGUGUACACUACCGAGGGUCGAGCAGCACGAUCCAUAGAUGCAUCUACUAUAAUACCGAGGUUAACGAACCACUCCCAUAAGAGUAAGAUACAUGAUCCUGCCAAGGCGUUCGGUCCGCUCCACAAGAAAGGAAAGAACCUUUUGAAUUACGAGGCACGUGCUUACGAUACAGUAUAUGAAUACUAUGUGAGUAUAACCAUUGCCGAUUCUCAAAUAACUUGCCAAUACCUCAAGGUGAUAACCUCGGCCUAAUGUAUAUGUAAUUUCUAAAUCAAGUUCAAUUAUAAUUUCAAUUAAUUAAGCCAGCAGAAUGAGUUCAAAUAAUUCAAAUAUUACAUGGUAAAGUCCUAAGUAUACUCGAACAUAAACAUGCUUUAGCCACGUACGGACUCUCGUAACCUCGUGCGUACGUCGCACCCACAAAAAGUAGCACAUAAUAAUUACAUCACCUAGGGGAUAGUUUUUCCCUCACAAGGUUAGACAAGAGACUUACAUUGCUCCGAAGUUCCAUAACUGACUCCAACGCCUCUCUAACACCUCAACUCCAAGCCAAACGAUCCGAAACUACUCAAACAAUAUGCAAUUCAAUCAAAAUAUACUCAAAUGCAUAUAAUAAACAAUUCCCAACUCCGCUAGAAAAGUCAAUAAAGUCAACCAUCAGGCCCACGUACCUAGAUUUCGAAAUUGUUUGAAGAUAAAUAUUACCCAUAACACCACGAACUCAAAUAUAUAAUUUAUUCCUAAUUCCAUGUCCAAUUUCGUAUUAUGUUUUGGGACUGGUUGGUGUGUUUUGGGACUGGUGUUGUGCAUCGCGAUCACGAAGAAGAAAUUUGGGGCUGCUCGUUUGUGCUACAUGAUCGCGACUUGGGAACCGCGAUCGCAGAGAAGGGAAUGAUUGACCAGGGAUUUUGCCUUACGCGAACGCGGCUUUUGGUUCGAGAAGAAGGGUGUCGUAACACUUUUUAUGUUCAGCUCACAAAAUAUCACGGUAAAGAGCGAUAUUUAGCACAUUAGGCUCACACAUAUAAAAUCAGACAAUAAACAAGAAAGCCAAGUAUAGAGUCAUCUAAGCUCGAAUUCUGAACCCUGAACCAGAAGUUCUGGGUUCAUGUCCCCAGCAGAGUCACCAAAAUUGUCACACCUCCUUUUUUUCGAAAGGAGUUUUUCCACUUUAAGUGAUAUUAUUGAAAAGGGAUUAUUUAAUUUAAUUUUAAGAGUCGUCACUUGAAAUUAUUUAUUACGGUGUUCCAAGCCACCAAUUAUUUUAUAUUCCAUAUCAAGGUAAGUUUGACUCUGUUUAAGUUUGCGAAACACAGAAGACCGUGUAAUGAAUUAUAUUAAUCCGAGAGAAGGUGUGAGGCACUCCUGGAUUUUGUGAUAUUAACAAGGUCGCUUUAUUUAUUUCAACACGUUUGAGAUUGCUUGUGGAGUCCAAGAAUUAUAGAAUUUCAUUCGUGAAUUCGCGAACUUUGAAACACUAAGGGCCUCCUUCAUAACAAAUACGAGAAAAGUUGAGAAAAUAGAUUUGGUAGAUUAACAACUUAUCUGUAUUAAUAAAUGAAUCCUCAUUAGUUAAUUAGUAGUGGCUUGUAGUUAAACUAUAUCUCUUCUUUUCAAUUAUUUAAUUCUACAUGGAUUGUUAUUGUGAAGGUAACAUUAUGGGCUAAAUUUAUUGAGUACCCAGAUUGGACAUCCAAUAAGUCACUUGUGAGUACAAAUGGGCUUCGGAUUAAAGCCCAAGGCAUCCUUUGAGCCUUUUGAGAACUAGGCCAUGAUGUAGACCUCUAAAUGGACAUGGUACUGAAAUUAGCUAGGAGUUCAGAGUCCACAUGACUCCAAUCUGAUUCUGCCACUUUGCUACGCCAGUUACUCUGGCCAAUGGCCUCUGGGAACGAAAGCCUAGUGAUUUACAACUCACAAUUUCAUACACCAUUGCAAAAAAUGAAAUAUGUAUGAACUAAUCUAAGCAUGAGUACAUGUUCAUCCGGAUUUAAAAUUACAACACCAAUUCACUACAUCAGAAAUCAUGACUUGAAUUUAUAAUAACAAACACUUUUAUGAACUAACAUCCUACAUUUCUGGAAUUAAACAAUGUCAUAACAAAUAAGGUUUCAGAUAAUUAAUUCAUAUCUCCUAAUGCCUUUGACUCGUACAAGUUUAGACUCUUCAUUCAACCUUCAAACUCAUGUGCUGAAAAACUUCAGUGGCUACCAAACUCAAACCCGAUCUCUAACAAAUUUACUAAGUGUUCACAAUCACCAAUAACAUGAAGAUAUUAGUUCUCAAAUUGCUAAAAUGUAUCAUACUAAGCUAAACAGAUAUCAAUCUGUUACAAUUAGCGGCAAAUUUCCAUUUUUACUCAAACACAAAAAUAUUAUCACAAAACAGACUAGAUUUGACUAUGUAAAACAUCUUAUCUAAAAACAUAAAUCGUGCGAAGAGCAAUAAUGGAUCUGGACACACAUAGAUCUAUGAAGAACCAACAUGAUUUCAAUUUAUUUGAUUUCAAUUUGAGGAAUUACAAACUACUUAAGCGUCAGCAACAUGAUUCAAGGAAUGCAUUUCAAUUUCAAUACCAAAACAUGCCAUAUCAUCAUAAAACUAAAUACAUUCAGAGAUCUAUAAGAAGCAGUAGGUAAAUAACCUUCAAAACUGAAAUACGAGAGAGAUUUAGGACCAAAUAAAGGUCAUAAAAUUAUAAGAGGGAGCUCAGCUACGAAACCACAUAAUCAACAGCGAAUCAAUAACAAUUAAUAAAGUAUUUAAGAUGGAAUAACUCAUUUGGAACCCAGCAAGUAAGGAAUAAUCGAUCAUAGGUGAAAACACUCUUCAAAUCCUUUUGAAAUCCUAAGUUUUCUUUUAUUUUUGGAGUCUUUGAUCUUAGAUCUCUUUUUUGAAUUUUUUAACUUUCGAAAUUUUUGGUUUUCAGUUGUUUUUGAAUACCGCUGAAUUUUCAGAGUGAAAUGGGUGUGCGCGCGAAUUUUUCAGACUGUGAAUACAUGCCCAAAUUGUGAGGAGGAAUGCCUUAUUUAUAGAUUAUUAGUUAGGUCUCUUUUGAACUUUUUCUUUUUGUUUUACCCCUCUUAUUUCAAGUUUUUACUCCGACAGUCCCUAAUAGCACACCCUUCUACAUCUUCUUUGCAAAUUAAUCAUUUUCCACACCUUCCUAGAAGUUUCCUAAAAGAUUCUCUAAGGGUGAAAUUCCUUAAUUAUCCUUCAAGUAUUUACCAAUUUUCAGAAAUUAGCUAUCUUUUAACACAAUUACUAGUCUUAUUUUACUACAUAUUUCACUAAAUUUCUGGCAGUGAGCCUUGGGCCAAAAGAAUAAUAGGCCAUGUCGACCUGGGCUCAAAGCCCACUGGUCUUCUAUAUUUUUGAUAAGUCUGUUAAUGAUCUAGCCUAAUUUCUUUUAAAUUUGAACCAAACUAACUAAGACAGUAUUUAAACACUAACAAAAUAUAUGAAAAAUUAACAACAAAAAUCGAAAAUAAGCUAACUCAUAAACUAAUUAGCUAACACAUAAUCGAACUAACAGAAGAAUACUCUUAACUUCUAAUGCUAUUUGAUCAAUAAUUAAAACAUGCGAUUAUUCACCUAUGAAUCAAAACAAAUGACAACACAUAAAAAAGAAAAACGUAGAAGAAUAGGAGGGAAGGGUAUACCUAAUGGAUCAAACGGGCUGUCAAGAGGAAAUUCCGACGAGCCAGAGGAUUGCUACACAAGCUCCAACCGAAAUUUGUCACGCUGGCCAAUGCUAUAUGUAGAAAUAGGUCCUGCAUGCUGGAGGUGAAGAACGAAGAAGCUUUGAGAGGACUGGACGGUCAACUAGAAUUUGACCGGGACCCGAUGGCCAUGAAAUGAGACGAAACCACCACCAAUCGCCAGUACUCAUCAAGAGAUGUCGAUUGGUGUGAAUUUUAACCUCAGACGGGGUAAGAAUUGAAGAGGAAUCAAGAAAGGGGCAGUUUCAAUUUUUCUUAAAUUCUCAGAUCCACUAAUCAUGGAGUUUGGGUGGAUUUUUGAGGAAAUGGUUGACAGAUUAGGGAUGAGGAGGAGUGAGAAGUAUCUGGUGAAAAUUUUGGGCCACCACCGUGAGGCAAUUUUUGGCGGCGGUCAGACGAUGGUCCACGGUGGUAUGAAGGCGGAGGGGGGACAACGGGCGACGAAAGCAAUUUUCGGCCGCCCAAGAGAGAUGAGAGAGAACGGGGAUUAGGGGUGGUUUAUAAAUAUUAAAUUUUUAUCAAUCGUUUUUAUUAAAAAGGGAAAAACAAUGAAAU
rnacentral:lncRNA from 1 species